rnacentral:rRNA from 1 species
AUUGAACGCUGGCGGCAGGCCUAACACAUGCAAGUCGAACGAGUGGCGGACGGGUGAGUAAUGUCUGGGAAACUGCCUGAUGGAGGGGGAUAACUACUGGAAACGGUAGCUAAUACCGCAUACCAUCAGAUGUGCCCAGAGGGGAUUAGCUUGUUGGUGGGGUAACGGCUCACCAAGGCGACGACCCCUAGCUGGUUUGAGAGGCUGGCCGACCCCACUGUAACUUAGACACGGUCCAGACUCCUACGGAAGGCAGCAGUGGGGAAUAUUGCACAAUGGGCGCAAGCCUGAUGCAGCCAGGCCGCGUGUAUGAAGAAGGCCUUCGGGUUGUAAAGUACUAUCAGCGGGGAGGCGUUACCCGCAGAAGAAGCACCGGCUAACUCCGUGCCAGCAGCCGCGGUAAUUC